CAGCAGCCGCCGCGGGAAUACGGAGGGAGCUAGCGUUGUUCGGAAUCACUGGGCGUAAAGCGCACGUAGGCGGCUAUUCAAGUCAGGGGUGAAAGCCCGGGGCUCAACCCCGGAACUGCCUUUGAAACUAGAUAGCUUGAAUCUUGGAGAGGCGAGUGGAAUUCCGAGUGUAGAGGUGAAAUUCGUAGAUAUUCGGAAGAACACCAGUGGCGAAGGCGACUCGCUGGACAAAUAUUGACGCUGAGGUGCGAAAGCGUGGGGAGCAAACAGGAUUAGAUACCCCAGUAGUCCCUGUCUCUUAUAA
rnacentral:rRNA from 1 species